rnacentral:hammerhead_ribozyme from 1 species
AUCCAGUUGAUGAGUCCCCAACAGGACGAAACGCGCAUGCUGGAU